rnacentral:rRNA from 1 species
GGGUCAGUAGGUUGGUCGUGCCACCGGUACGUACUGGUCUCACCGAUUCCUCCUUCCUGAAGAACCGUAAUGCCAUUAAUUUGGUGUUGCGGGGAAACAGGACUGUUACUUUGAAAAAAUUAGAGUGUUUAAAGCAAACUAACGCUUGAAUACAUUAGCAUGGAAUAAUGAAAUAGGACGAUCGAUCCUAUUUUGUUGGUUUCUAGGAUUGACGUA